UGGGGAAUAUUGGACAAUGGGCGCAAGCCUGAUCCAGCCAUGCCGCGUGAGUGAUGUAGGCCCUAGGGUUGUAAAGCUCUUUCACCGGUGAAGAUAAUGACGGUAACCGGAGAAGAAGCCCCGGCUAACUUCGUGCCAGCAGCCGCGGUAAUACGAAGGGGGCUAGCGUUGUUCGGAUUUACUGGGCGUAAAGCGCACGUAGGCGGACUUUUAAGUCAGGGGUGAAAUCCCGGGGCUCAACCCCGGAACUGCCUUUGAUACUGGAAGUCUUGAGUAUGGUAGAGGUGAGUGGAAUUCCGAGUGUAGAGGUGAAAUUCGUAGAUAUUCGGAGGAACACCAGUGGCGAAGGCGGCUCACUGGACCAUUACUGACGCUGAGGUGCGAAAGCGUGGGGAGCAAACAGG
rnacentral:rRNA from 1 species